rnacentral:rRNA from 1 species
AAAACAUCGCCUCCUGCAACUAUAUUGAGUAUAGGAGGUCCAGCCUGCCCAGUGACUACGGGUUCAACGGCCGCGGUAUUUUGACCGUGCAAAGGUAGCGCAAUCACUUGUCUCUUAAAUAGAGACCUGUAUGAAUGGCUAGACCGAGGGCUUAACUGUCUCCCCCUUCCGGUCAGUGAAAUUGAUCUAUCCGUGCAGAAGCGGGUAUAAUUUUACAAGACGAGAAGACCCUUUGGAGCUUAAGGUACAAAAUUCAACCACGUUAAACGACUUCACAGAGAGCAAGAACUUAGUGGCGAGUGAAAUUUUACCUUCGGUUGGGGCGACCACGGAGGAGAAAGAAGCCUCCGAGUGGACUGGGCUAAUCCCCAAAGCCAAGAGAUACAUCUAUAAGCCGCAGAACAUCUGACCAAAAAUGAUCCGGCUGAUAAAGCCGAUCAACGAACCAAGUUACCCUAGGGAUAACAGCGCAAUCCUCUCCCAGAGUCCAUAUCGACGAGGGGGUUUACGACCUCGAUGUUGGAUCAGGACAUCCUAAUGGUGCAGCCGCUAUUAAGGGUUCGUUUGUUCAACGAUUAAAGUCCUACGUGAUCUGAGUUCAGA